rnacentral:rRNA from 1 species
GGGUUGUGAGGUUAAGCGACUAAGCGUACACGGUGGAUGCCCUGGCAGUCAGAGGCGAUGAAGGACGUGCUAAUCUGCGAUAAGCGUCGGUAAGGUGAUAUGAACCGUUAUAACCGGCGAUUUCCGAAUGGGGAAACCCAGUGUGAUUCGUCACACUAUCAUUAACUGAAUCCAUAGGUUAAUGAGGCGAACCGGGGGAACUGAAACAUCUAAGUACCCCGAGGAAAAGAAAUCAACCGAGAUUCCCCCAGUAGCGGCGAGCGAACGGGGAGCAGCCCAGAGCCUGAAUCAGUGUGUGUGUUAGUGGAAGCGUCUGGAAAGGCGCGCGAUACAGGGUGACAGCCCCGUACACAAAAAUGCACAUGCUGUGAGCUCGAUGAGUAGGGCGGGACACGUGGUAUCCUGUCUGAAUAUGGGGGGACCAUCCUCCAAGGCUAAAUACUCCUGACUGACCGAUAGUGAACCAGUACCGUGAGGGAAAGGCGAAAAGAACCCCGGCGAGGGGAGUGAAAAAGAACCUGAAACCGUGUACGUACAAGCAGUGGGAGCACAGAGCAAUCUGUGUGACUGCGUACCUUUUGUAUAAUGGGUCAGCGACUUAUAUUCUGUAGCAAGGUUAACCGAAUAGGGGAGCCGAAGGGAAACCGAGUCUUAACUGGGCGUUAAGUUGCAGGGUAUAGACCCGAAACCCGGUGAUCUAGCCAUGGGCAGGUUGAAGGUUGGGUAACACUAACUGGAGGACCGAACCGACUAAUGUUGAAAAAUUAGCGGAUGACUUGUGGCUGGGGGUGAAAGGCCAAUCAAACCGGGAGAUAGCUGGUUCUCCCCGAAAGCUAUUUAGGUAGCGCCUCGUGAAUUCAUCUCCGGGGGUAGAGCACUGUUUCGGCAAGGGGGUCAUCCCGACUUACCAACCCGAUGCAAACUGCGAAUACCGGAGAAUGUUAUCACGGGAGACACACGGCGGGUGCUAACGUCCGUCGUGAAGAGGGAAACAACCCAGACCGCCAGCUAAGGUCCCAAAGUCAUGGUUAAGUGGGAAACGAUGUGGGAAGGCCCAGACAGCCAGGAUGUUGGCUUAGAAGCAGCCAUCAUUUAAAGAAAGCGUAAUAGCUCACUGGUCGAGUCGGCCUGCGCGGAAGAUGUAACGGGGCUAAACCAUGCACCGAAGCUGCGGCAGCGACGCUUAUGCGUUGUUGGGUAGGGGAGCGUUCUGUAAGCCUGUGAAGGUGUACUGUGAGGUAUGCUGGAGGUAUCAGAAGUGCGAAUGCUGACAUAAGUAACGAUAAAGCGGGUGAAAAGCCCGCUCGCCGGAAGACCAAGGGUUCCUGUCCAACGUUAAUCGGGGCAGGGUGAGUCGACCCCUAAGGCGAGGCCGAAAGGCGUAGUCGAUGGGAAACAGGUUAAUAUUCCUGUACUUGGUGUUACUGCGAAGGGGGGACGGAGAAGGCUAUGUUGGCCGGGCGACGGUUGUCCCGGUUUAAGCGUGUAGGCUGGUUUUCCAGGCAAAUCCGGAAAAUCAAGGCUGAGGCGUGAUGACGAGGCACUACGGUGCUGAAGCAACAAAUGCCCUGCUUCCAGGAAAAGCCUCUAAGCAUCAGGUAACAUCAAAUCGUACCCCAAACCGACACAGGUGGUCAGGUAGAGAAUACCAAGGCGCUUGAGAGAACUCGGGUGAAGGAACUAGGCAAAAUGGUGCCGUAACUUCGGGAGAAGGCACGCUGAUAUGUAGGUGAAGUCCCUCGCGGAUGGAGCUGAAAUCAGUCGAAGAUACCAGCUGGCUGCAACUGUUUAUUAAAAACACAGCACUGUGCAAACACGAAAGUGGACGUAUACGGUGUGACGCCUGCCCGGUGCCGGAAGGUUAAUUGAUGGGGUUAGCGCAAGCGAAGCUCUUGAUCGAAGCCCCGGUAAACGGCGGCCGUAACUAUAACGGUCCUAAGGUAGCGAAAUUCCUUGUCGGGUAAGUUCCGACCUGCACGAAUGGCGUAAUGAUGGCCAGGCUGUCUCCACCCGAGACUCAGUGAAAUUGAACUCGCUGUGAAGAUGCAGUGUACCCGCGGCAAGACGGAAAGACCCCGUGAACCUUUACUAUAGCUUGACACUGAACAUUGAGCCUUGAUGUGUAGGAUAGGUGGGAGGCUUUGAAGUGUGGACGCCAGUCUGCAUGGAGCCGACCUUGAAAUACCACCCUUUAAUGUUUGAUGUUCUAACGUUGACCCGUGAUCCGGGUUGCGGACAGUGUCUGGUGGGUAGUUUGACUGGGGCGGUCUCCUCCUAAAGAGUAACGGAGGAGCACGAAGGUUGGCUAAUCCUGGUCGGACAUCAGGAGGUUAGUGCAAUGGCAUAAGCCAGCUUGACUGCGAGCGUGACGGCGCGAGCAGGUGCGAAAGCAGGUCAUAGUGAUCCGGUGGUUCUGAAUGGAAGGGCCAUCGCUCAACGGAUAAAAGGUACUCCGGGGAUAACAGGCUGAUACCGCCCAAGAGUUCAUAUCGACGGCGGUGUUUGGCACCUCGAUGUCGGCUCAUCACAUCCUGGGGCUGAAGUAGGUCCCAAGGGUAUGGCUGUUCGCCAUUUAAAGUGGUACGCGAGCUGGGUUUAGAACGUCGUGAGACAGUUCGGUCCCUAUCUGCCGUGGGCGCUGGAGAACUGAGGGGGGCUGCUCCUAGUACGAGAGGACCGGAGUGGACGCAUCACUGGUGUUCGGGUUGUCAUGCCAAUGGCACUGCCCGGUAGCUAAAUGCGGAAGAGAUAAGUGCUGAAAGCAUCUAAGCACGAAACUUGCCCCGAGAUGAGUUCUCCCUGACUCCUUGAGAGUCCUGAAGGAACGUUGAAGACGACGACGUUGAUAGGCCGGGUGUGUAAGCGCAGCGAUGCGUUGAGCUAACCGGUACUAAUGAACCGUGAGGCUUAACCUUACAACGCCGAAGCUGUU